rnacentral:lncRNA from 1 species
UCUAACUUUUGGUAAUGGUUAUCCCUUUUGUUCGAGUUAAACCAUUGUUUAGAAUUUAAGUCAUCACUUGUUGUAUUCGUUUGUUCUUGUUCAAAUACAACUCGUGUGACAAUAUCAAAUACCCGUCGUCCAAAUUUGAAGGAAGAUUGGGAAUUUUUGGAAAAUCAAAGAGGAACUAGAAUUUUUUACAUGAAACAAUCUUAUAUAACUGUUUCCAAAUUUAUGGAACGGCAAGUUGCAAGGAAAUUUGAUAGUGAUGUACGGAAACAAAGAGCUACCGAAUCGCAAUCCCAUUUGAACAACUACGAAAUUUUACAGGAACUUGAAACUAGCAAAUAAGAUGGCAGUGAAGACGACAGUGAAGAGGAACAUGUUUUCUCUUCCGGCAACAAAAAGAAGAACAAUAGUUGAAACAGUACCUUUUCAAGUAUCAGCCAAAAACUUAUCAGAAAUCACGUCAUCGACAGCCGAUCGAAGUAGAUUAUCAGUUCGACAACAACUACGCAUUCAGUGCACUAUUGUCACUGGUACCGGAGGUUCGCUGAAUAAUAUGUCGAUGUCUCUUUUGUGGCGGCAGAGAAAUGCUGCUCUAGAAAAAUCAAUGAAGAAAAUCAAGGCCCAUUGGUUGUUGUCAAAGCCAAAGUUUGUUGAUUCUCUAUUGGGAUUCCAAGCUAAUUCAACUUCUCUCCGGACGUAAAGAAGAACGCGUGGCUGUUUUAGUUAGCGGAUCAGUUAAUGGUCCAAAGCUUAUUCGUGUUCCACCGAUGGAUAAUUCAAGUGGAUUGUUUCAUUGUCAAGCUACCAUUAAUAUAUGAAAAGAAUGGGACAUCUGAGAUAAUGUUAUUGGGACUUGCUCCGAUAAAACAGCAAGCAAUACAGUUGGUUUGUCGCCAUCAUCACUGCGAGUUGCAUAUAAAACACGCAUUCACUGCCUUGAGAGGAGACUGUAAUAGACCUGGCGAGCCUAUAUUUAAACGAUUCUAAACUGAUUUCCUGACUUUCAACUUCGAUUAUUCUAAGCUUCAGUUGUUUUAGUGUCUGAGUGAUCAGUCAACUCGGAUAUGGAUUCAGGCGCACUCCGUUCUCACUUAGGCAGAACAGUGUUUAAAAUACAAGACGUUACCAAGGGAGGACUAUCUUGAAUUGAAAACCCGGUGCGGUUCUCACGCGCGGUUCAUGUCACAAUUAAUUUAUAUUUUGAAGAUUGAAUUGUUGUCUGGCUCAUUCAAUAUGUCCCAAGAAGAAAGAUCAAUUAUCCAUAGAAUGGCCAAGUUCAUUGCUUACUUCUACUCAAAACUGUUACUUCGUUCUAGAAUCACUGUAUUUGCAGCAGUGGAUGACUUUCACUUCAUGGCAGCAAUGACUUGGUAUCAGGAAGAAGAUUCAGCUAUCGCCACAGCUGUUCUUGCGUCCAUAAAUCGUCAUCUGUGGUACCUUACAGAAGAACUUAUAGUGCUGGCGAUAUUCAAUGAGAACGUGUUAAACUUCACCAGGACGCUUCUAACUAAGAAAUUCUACUCUACUUCUCGUCAGACUUCUUUUAAACUCGGCAAGCCGAAAUUCCCCACUAUUGAAAUCAACAACUCGACACCAACAUAUAUUCAUUCCUUUCUUGGACCUAGAUCUUGGCUUUUUUCUUGUUUUUAUUAAACCUAAAUAAUUCCUAAGAAUGGCUACAGUUGCCUACAGACUAUAGAGCAGUAAAACAUCCUGCGUUGCGCGUUUUCCACAAAUGCGAAAAUCUCAUUUGUGUCCAAGUUGGUCUGCUGCGGCUGCAGCGUCUUAUGGAGAAACCA